rnacentral:rRNA from 1 species
AUUGAACGCUGGCGGCAGGCUUAACACAUGCAAGUCGAGCGGAGCGAGGGUGCUUGCACCUUAGCUUAGCGGCGGACGGGCGAGUAAUGCUUAGGAAUCUGCCUAUUAGUGGGGGACAACAUUCCGAAAGGAAUGCUAAUACCGCAUACGCCCUACGGGGGAACGCAGGGGAUCUUCGGACCUUGCGCUAACAGAUGAGCCUAAGUCGGAUUAGCUAGUUGGUGGGGUAAAGGCCUACCAAGGCGACGAUCUGUAGCGGGUCUGAGAGGAUGAUCCGCCACACUGGGACUGAGACACGACCCAGACUCCUACGGGAGGCAGCAGUGGGGAAUAUUGGACAAUGGGCGGAAGCCUGAUCCAGCCAUGCCGCGUGUGUGAAGAAGGCCUUUUGGUUGUAAAGCACUUUAAGCGAGGAGGAGGCUCUUAAGGUUAAUACCCUUGAUGAGUGGACGUUACUCGCAGAAUAAGCACCGGCUAACUCUGUGCCAGCCGCCGCUGUAACAC